GCAGCCGUGGCCGAGCGGUUAAGGCGACUGACUCGAAAUCAGUUUCCCUCUGGGAGCGUAGGUUCGAUUCCUACCGGCUGCG
rnacentral:tRNA from 1 species